rnacentral:misc_RNA from 1 species
GAUGAAGAACGUAGCAAAAUGCGAUAAGUAAUGUGAAUUGCAGAAUUCAGUGAAUCAUCGAAUCUUUGAACGCACAUUGCGUCCGCUGGUAUUCCGGCGGGCAUGCCUGUUCGAGCGUCAUUUCAACCCUCAAGCCCCCGGGUUUGGUGUUGGGGAUCGGCUCUGCCCUUCUGGGCGGUGCCGCCCCCGAAAUACAUUGGCGGUCUCGCUGCAGCCUCCAUUGCGUAGUAGCUAACACCUCGCAACUGGAACGCGGCGCGGCCAUGCCGUAAAACCCCAACUUCUGAAUGUUGACCUCGGAUCAGGUAGGAAUACCCGCUGAACUUAAGCAUAUCAAUAAGCGGAGGA